UACGUAGGGCGCAAGCGUUGUCCGGAAUUAUUGGGCGUAAAGAGCUCGUAGGCGGUCUGUUACGUCCGCUGUGAAAACCCGGGGCUUAACCCUGGGCUGGCAGUGGAUACGGGUAGACUAGAGGCAGGUAGGGGAGAAUGGAAUUCCCGGUGUAGCGGUGAAAUGCGCAGAUAUCGGGAGGAACACCAGUGGCGAAGGCGGCUGUCUGGGCUCACACUGACACUGAGGCACGAAAGCGUGGGGAGCGAACAGG
rnacentral:rRNA from 1 species